UAGGGAAUCUUCGGCAAUGGACGGAAGUCUGACCGAGCAACGCCGCGUGAGUGAAGAAGGUUUUCGGAUCGUAAAGCUCUGUUGUUAGAGAAGAACGUUGGUAGGAGUGGAAAAUCUACCAAGUGACGGUAACUAACCAGAAAGGGACGGCUAACUACGUGCCAGCAGCCGCGGUAAUACGUAGGUCCCGAGCGUUGUCCGGAUUUAUUGGGCGUAAAGCGAGCGCAGGCGGUUCUUUAAGUCUGAAGUUAAAGGCAGUGGCUUAACCAUUGUACGCUUUGGAAACUGGAGGACUUGAGUGCAAGAGGGGGGAGUGGAAUUCCAUGUGUAACGGUGAAAUGCGUAGAUAUAUGGAGGAACACCGGUGGCGAAAGCGGCUCUCUGGUCUGUAACUGACGCUGAGGCUCGAAAGCGUGGGGAGCAAACAGG
rnacentral:rRNA from 1 species